AACGAACGCUGGCGGCAUGCCUAACACAUGCAAGUCGAACGGACCCUUCGGGGUCAGUGGCGCACGGGUGCGUAACGCGUGGGAAUCUGCCCUCUGGUUCGGAAUAACUCAGGGAAACUUGAGCUAAUACCGGAUAAUGACUUCGGUCCAAAGAUUUAUCGCCAGAGGAUGAGCCCGCGUCGGAUUAGCUAGUUGGUGAGGUAAAAGCUCACCAAGGCGCCGAUCCGUAGCUGGUCUGAGAGGAUGAUCAGCCACACUGGGACUGAGACACGGCCCAGACUCCUACGGGAGGCAGCAGUGGGGAAUAUUGGACAAUGGGCGAAAGCCUGAUCCAGCAAUGCCGCGUGAGUGAUGAAGGCCUUAGGGUUGUAAAGCUCUUUUACCCGGGAUGAUAAUGACAGUACCGGGAGAAUAAGCCCCGGCUAACUCCGUGCCAGCCGCCGCGGUAACAC
rnacentral:rRNA from 1 species